GAACUUCAGCCUUCUGAAUUUGGAUUGUUUCACUUCGGAAGUGCUCAGAAGGAGGACUCAGUGCCACUGCCUUUGAUCCAGUAGUCAGUCAAAGAUGAACCUUGUCCCAGAAUGCUUAGCUUAAGUUCUUCGAAUGGUCUUGUUUGUUAUCUGCACAAAGAUCUUUGUCUUUUGCUGUAUUGCCUUUUCUCGGUGGGGCCAUAACCUCUUUGGGCACAGAGAUUCGCUUAUUCUAGUCUUGGUGCCCUUGUGCUGCUGUAAACAGUUCUUACACAUGUCACUGGCUGUGUGGUCUCGUGAUUCUUUUUCAUUUUUGCUGGUAGCUGGUUUUGUCCUUUGCGAAGGGAAACUUAAGUAGUGACUUUUAAGUAACUAGAUGGCCCAGUUUCCUGUCUUGUCUCUCUGUACUCUGCUUUAGUGUGUACCACAUAUGAACACAUGAAAAAUCAUUUGUAUGUGACCCGGUAGCUUCAACUGCAAAAUGGGAUAAUUGGUUAUUAUCAGAGUUGCUGUGCACACAUGUGCAUAGCAUGUAGUCCAUAGUAAACAUGCUGCUGACCCUGUGUAGUGUGUUUGGUGCUCUGGAAAGAGGUUCAGUCAUGACACAAGCCUACUGGAGGUCCAGAGUGACAAGAACCAGUAAAGAAACUCAUCAAGUGGCAUGGUGCUGCCAGCUGUAGUCCUGGUUCUCUAGAGGCUGGACUAAGAAUAUACUAUACCGGGUUGGGGAUUUAGCUCAGCGGUAGAGCGCUUGCCUAGCGAGCGCAAGGCCCUGGGUUCG
rnacentral:lncRNA from 1 species